rnacentral:rRNA from 1 species
AGUGAACGCUGGCGGUAGGCCUAACACAUGCAAGUCGAACGGCAGCACAGUAAGAGCUUGCUCUUACGGGUGGCGAGUGGCGGACGGGUGAGGAAUACAUCGGAAUCUACUUUUUCGUGGGGGAUAACGUAGGGAAACUUACGCUAAUACCGCAUACGACCUACGGGUGAAAGCAGGGGAUCUUCGGACCUUGCGCGAUUGAAUGAGCCGAUGUCGGAUUAGCUAGUUGGCGGGGUAAAGGCCCACCAAGGCGACGAUCCGUAGCUGGUCUGAGAGGAUGAUCGGCCACACUGGACCUGAAACACGGUCCAGACUCCUACGGGAGGCAGCAGUGGGAAAUAUUGGACAAUGGGCGAAAGCCUGAGCAAGCCAGACCGCGUGGGUGAAGAAGGCCUUCGGGUUGUAAGCCCUUUUGUUGGGAAAGAAAAGCAGCAGGUUAAUACCCCGCUGUUCUGACGGUACCCAAAGAAUAAGCACCGGCUAACUUCGUG